rnacentral:rRNA from 1 species
UACGUAGGGUGCAAGCGUUGUCCGGAAUUAUUGGGCGUAAAGAGCUCGUAGGCGGUUUGUUGCGUCGGCUGUGAAAUCCCGAGGCUCAACCUUGGGUCUGCAGUCGAUACGAGCAAACUAGAGUGUUGCAGGGGAGACUGGAAUUCCUGGUGUAGCGGUGAAAUGCGCAGAUAUCAGGAGGAACACCGAUGGCGAAGGCAGGUCUCUGGGCAUUAACUGACGCUGAGGAGCGAAAGCAUGGGGAGCGAACAGG